GGGCAUCGCAUGGAGAAGUCUGACGGAGCACGCCGCGUGAGUGAUGAAGGUUUUCGGAUCGUAAAGCUCUGUUGUUAGGGAAGAACAAGUGCCGUUCAAAUAGGGCGGCACCUUGACGGUACCUAACCAGAAAGCCACGGCUAACUACGUGCCAGCAGCCGCGGUAAUACGUAGGUGGCAAGCGUUGUCCGGAAUUAUUGGGCGUAAAGGGCUCGCAGGCGGUUUCUUAAGUCUGAUGUGAAAGCCCCCGGCUCAACCGGGGAGGGUCAUUGGAAACUGGGGAACUUGAGUGCAGAAGAGGAGAGUGGAAUUCCACGUGUAGCGGUGAAAUGCGUAGAGAUGUGGAGGAACACCAGUGGCGAAGGCGACUCUCUGGUCUGUAACUGACGCUGAGGAGCGAAAGCGUGGGGAGCGAACAGGAUUAGAAAC
rnacentral:rRNA from 1 species